rnacentral:tRNA from 1 species
AGCCCCGAGGUGUUGUCACAUGCAGGAUUGCAAAUCCUGAGUCGUCGUUUAACCCCGACCGGGGCUU